rnacentral:rRNA from 1 species
UAGGGAAUCUUCCGCAAUGGACGCAAGUCUGACGGAGCAACGCCGCGUGAGUGAAGAAGGAUUUCGGUUCGUAAAACUCUGUUGUUAGAGAAGAACAGCGCAUAGAGUAACUGUUAUGCGUGUGACGGUAUCUAACCAGAAAGCCACGGCUAACUACGUGCCAGCAGCCGCGGUAAUACGUAGGUGGCAAGCGUUGUCCGGAUUUAUUGGGCGUAAAGCGAGCGCAGGCGGUCAAUUAAGUCUGAUGUGAAAGCCCCCGGCUCAACCGGGGAGGGUCAGUGGAAACUGGUUGACUGGAGUGCAGAAGAGGAGAGUGGAAUUCCAUGUGUAGCGGUGAAAUGCGUAGAUAUAUGGAGGAACACCGGUGGCGAAGGCGAGUCUCUGGUCUGUAACUGACGCUGAGGCUCGAAAGCGUGGGUAGCAAACAGG